UACAGAGGUGGCAAGCGUUGUUCGGAAUUACUGGGCGUAAAGGGCGCGUAGGCGGCCUACUAAGUCAGACGUGAAAUCCCCCGGCUUAACCUGGGAACUGCGUCUGAUACUGGAAGGCUUGAGGAUGGGAGAGGGAUGGUAGAAUUCCAGGUGUAGCGGUGAAAAUGCGUAGAUAUCUGGAGGAAUACCGGUGGCGAAGGCGGCAUCCUGGACCCAUUACUGACGCUGAGGCGGCGAAAGCUAGGGGGAGCAAACGGG
rnacentral:rRNA from 1 species